rnacentral:rRNA from 1 species
UACGAAGGGGGCUAGCGUUGCUCGGAAUCACUGGGCGUAAAGGGUGCGUAGGCGGGUCUUUAAGUCAGAGGUGAAAGCCUGGAGCUCAACUCCAGAACUGCCUUUGAUACUGAGGAUCUCGAGUUCGGGAGAGGUGAGUGGAACUGCGAGUGUAGAGGUGAAAUUCGUAGAUAUUCGCAAGAACACCAGUGGCGAAGGCGGCUCACUGGCCCGGUACUGACGCUGAGGUGCGAAAGCGUGGGGAGCAAACAGG